AUCAAGAUUAGAUUGCAAAUGCACCCUAUUGCACUCGAGCAUCCUCGAAACAUCUUUGCCGGAAUCAUAAGCCCUUAUGAAGUGAUCUUCAAUGUCUUUUAAAGCCUCCAAAAGCUCUCUCCCUCUCACCGGUGUGUCGAUAACCGUAAGACCUUUCUGCUGUGGCUGCGCCGCCCGGUGCACGUUAGCAUUCUCCACCGCGGCCCGGCCCACGUUUGCAUUCUCCACC
rnacentral:lncRNA from 1 species